CUGCAAAGGGGCGGGAGCGGAGAACUUUCUAGAGAAGCGGUUAAACGGGUUGAGGCUCUUGGACUGAGGGACUCCAAGUGGCGAGCCUCCCAAGUCCGGGCCUGCCUCGUGGCCGGCCCUGCUCACCCAGGCCCACAGCGGAAUAGCUGGAGACAGGCAGUCAGAUGUGAAGUGGCAAAGAUCGGCCUCCCGUGAUUGUGCCACAGAUGCCCAUGGUUCCAGGCGUGGGCACCUGAGCAGUGUGGGAAAGAGAGGUCGAGGGAUUGAAAGUGUGGGCCCCGUAGGGACAGUUUCAGCCCAGGUGCACAGAUCGGACACAACUUUGCCCUCCCUGCAGCCUGGCAGGCCCACCGCAAAAAUGCCAUGAGCAGAUUUAUAAGAGCCAUAGACUUGUAAGUGGAGGUGAAUAGGAAGGAAGGUUUUCUCAACCUGCUCGCUGCUCCUAUGAGAUGCCUGUGGAGUUCUGAGUCUGUGUGGCUAAAACCAUGAAGUUCUGAUUACCGGAACAGUGCUGGCUUGAUGGAAGAUCUGUCUGGAGAGGUCCUGACUCUGCCCAGCAGUUUAGUACCCAGUUAUACAGCCUGAAUGGCAGCAGCACAGGAAAGAGAGGAACAAUUGAAAACAAAAGAAAAGGAUUCUUCAGAGAAGAAACAGGCCGGGCAGUGGUGGUGCACAC
rnacentral:lncRNA from 1 species